UACGAAGGGGGCUAGCGUUGCUCGGAAUUACUGGGCGUAAAGCGCACGUAGGCGGAUUGUUAAGUCGGGGGUGAAAUCCUGGAGCUCAACUCCAGAACUGCCUUCGAUACUGGCGAUCUCGAGUUCGGGAGAGGUGAGUGGAACUGCGAGUGUAGAGGUGAAAUUCGUAGAUAUUCGCAAGAACACCAGUGGCGAAGGCGGCUCACUGGCUCGGUACUGACGCUGAGGUGCGAAAGCGUGGGGAGCAAACAGG
rnacentral:rRNA from 1 species